UGCGGAAGGAUCAUUACCAAGAACCACACAGAAAAGGGAGGCAAAGGGGCCUACAGGGCUAGUAGCUUAUACGUUGUUGAACGUCCUGCCUGGACCCGGAGCCGCCCCCAUCUAAAUCCUCUGCGUACCUGUCCCUUCUUGCUUCCCCCGGCAUCUCGUCGGGGGGAGGUAACAACCAAAACUCUCUGUGAAUCAAACAGCCGUCAGAAUUAUAAAACAAACAAAAGUUAAAACUUUCAACAACGGAUCUCUUGGUUCCCACAUCGAUGAAGAACGCAGCGAAAUGCGAUAAGUAAUGUGAAUUGCAGAAUUCAGUGAAUCAUCGAAUCUUUGAACGCACAUUGCGCCCCCUGGUAUUCCGGGGGGCAUGCCUGUUCGAGCGUCAUAAAAACCUCCUCCCCCUUCGGGUUUUGUUACUAUCGUUGGGGGGUUUUGGCCUAAUGGGAUAGCGAUUGGCAAUUCGUUUCCCAAUGUCCUAAAUAGACGUAGACCCGCCUCCAGAUGCGACAGCACCGAGGCCAUCAACCGUGGAGUUAUGGGAUAUAAUAGGCUUGCAGUAAAAUGCUCACCUCUCUCCACACGCCGAUGGCACGACAGUUGCAGUUGCGGGCGUAAAUUGGAGCCCUUUUCAGGACCCUUGUGGCCUAGCAUCCACCAUACAUAAUUUGACCUCGGAUCAGGUAGGGAUACCCGCUGAACUUAAGCAUAUC
rnacentral:rRNA from 1 species